rnacentral:rRNA from 1 species
GAUGAACGCUGACAGAAUGCUUAACACAUGCAAGUCCACUUGAACUUCGGUUUGGGUGGCGGACGGGUGAGUAACGCGUAAAGAACUUGCCUCACAGCUAGGGACAACAUUUGGAAACGAAUGCUAAUACUUGAUAUUAUGAUUUUAGGGCAUCCUAGAAUUAUGAAAGCUAUAUGCGCUGUGAGAGAGCUUUGCGUCCCAUUAGCUAGUUGGAGAGGUAACGGCUCACCAAGGCGAUGAUGGGUAGCCGGCCUGAGAGGGUGAACGGCCACAAGGGGACUGAGACACGGCCCUUACUCCUACGGGAGGCAGCAGUGGGGAAUAUUGGACAAUGGACCAAGAGUCUGAUCCAGCAAUUCUGUGUGCACGAUGAAGUUUUUCGGAAUGUAAAGUGCUUUCAGUUGGGAAGAAAAAAAUGACGGUACCAACAGAAGAAGUGACGGCUAAAUACGUG